rnacentral:rRNA from 1 species
UACGUAGGGUGCAAGCGUUAUCCGGAAUUAUUGGGCGUAAAGAGCUCGUAGGUGGUUUGUCGCGUCUGCUGUGAAAACUGGAGGCUCAACCUCCAGCCUGCAGUGGGUACGGGCAGACUAGAGUGCGGUAGGGGAGAUUGGAAUUCCUGGUGUAGCGGUGGAAUGCGCAGAUAUCAGGAGGAACACCGAUGGCGAAGGCAGGAGUCUCUG